rnacentral:tRNA from 1 species
GAUCAGGUGGCUGAGUGGUUAAGGCGAUGUACUGCUGAUCCAUUGGGGUUUCCGCGUGUGAGUAACAAUCUCAUCCUGAUGG